CCAAGGGGAGGGAGAAACCCUAGCUUCAUCUAAUUCACAAGGAAAAUCAUAAAGAUUCAAACAAAUUGAAAGCAUAAUCAGGAAAUUGCAAGCUCUUAACUAAUCCUUUGAAAGGGUGUAAAGGAAGAGGGCUCGGGUUCUAAGAAGUCGGAAAGCUCGCAAGACAAAGGUAAAUCCUCGAUUUAGACGUUUGGACGGCUUGGAACGUGCACACUUGGAUUACGCCCGCCUCACGCUUCCGUUAUUAAGUCUUUUAAAAGGGGUUAAGUUUUGGUCAUAUGUAACUAGGUUUAUGUAGUAUGUUAAUAACUUCGUUGUUGGGUAAAAACUUGGUAGUCGAAGUCAUGUCGUGUCCAAUGUAGGCUUUGUUCGUUUUGGGUUUUGUCAAGAAUGUUAAACGUUGAAGUUUGGUAUGUAUAA